UACGGAGGGUGCAAGCGUUAAUCGGAAUUACUGGGCGUAAAGCGCGCGUAGGCGGCUUGUUAAGUCGGAUGUGAAAUCCCCGGGCUCAACCUGGGAACUGCAUUCGAUACUGGCUGGCUAGAGUGUGGUAGAGGGAAGUGGAAUUCCAGGUGUAGCGGUGAAAUGCGUAGAUAUCUGGGGGAACAUCAGUGGCGAAGGCAGCCCCCUGGGAUAACACUGACGCUCAUGCACGAAAGCGUGGGGAGCAAACAGGAUUAGAAACCCGAGUAGU
rnacentral:rRNA from 1 species